GACGAACGCUGGCGGCGUGCUUAACACAUGCAAGUCGAACGAUGAAGCCGGAGCUUGCUCCGGUGGAUUAGUGGCGAACGGGUGAGUAACACGUGAGAAAUCUGCCCUUGACUCUGGGAUAACUGCGGGAAACUGUAGCUAAUACCGGAUACGACACCUUGGGGCAUCCCAGGGUGUGGAAAGAAUUUCGGUCAAGGAUGAGCUCGCGGCCUAUCAGCUAGUUGGGGAGGUAAUGGCUGAACAAGGCGACGACGGGUAGCCGGCCGGAGAGGGUGACCGGCCACACUGGAACUGAGACACGGUCCAGACUCCUACGGGAGGCAGCAGUGGGGAAUAUUGCACAAUGGGCGAAAGCCUGAUGCAGCAACGCCGCGUGAGGGAUGAAGGCCUUCGGGUUGUAAACCUCUUUUAGCAGGGAAGAAGCGAAAGUGACGGUACCUGCAGAAAAAGCACCGGCUAACUACGUGCCAGCCGCCGCCGUAA
rnacentral:rRNA from 1 species